AACGCGAAGAACCUUACCAGGUCUUGACAUCCCUCUGACCGUCCUAGAGAUAGGGCUUUCCUUCGGGACAGAGGAGACAGGUGGUGCAUGGUUGUCGUCAGCUCGUGUCGUGAGAUGUUGGGUUAAGUCCCGCAACGAGCGCAACCCUUGAUCUUAGUUGCCAGCACUUCGGGUGGGCACUCUAAGGUGACUGCCGGUGACAAACCGGAGGAAGGUGGGGAUGACGUCAAAUCAUCAUGCCCCUUAUGACCUGGGCUACACACGUACUACAAUGGCCGGUACAACGGGCUGUGAAGCCGCGAGGCGGAACGAAUCCUAAAAAGCCGGUCUCAGUUCGGAUUGCAGGCUGCAACUCGCCUGCAUGAAGUCGGAAUUGCUAGUAAUCGCGGAUCAGCAUGCCGCGGUGAAUACGUUCCCGGGCCUUGUACACACCG
rnacentral:rRNA from 1 species